UAAAACCUAAAAUUACAUUCCCCAAAAUCGGAACCCUAGUUAUCAGAAGACACUUGAGAGACGAUACAUGUCAAUACUCCAAAUCGGAACUCUACCUGCUUCAAAUCGGAUCUAAAUCAGCAAACAUCGAGAUCGGAACUCCAUCCACGACGAAUCGUCGACAGCAAUGGCGGAAUUGCUGCCAAUCAGAGCUCCAUUCGCCAACAAAUCGUCGACAACAAUGGCGAAAUUGCUGCUGUUAGCCUCCGUUUUUCAACAAUCGUACUCCGAACUCCUUUCCUUCACUCUCGAAUCAUCGGCAACAAUGGCGGAAUGUAUGUUAAAAACUAUUGUUCAUUCAUUUAUCGUUGAUAAGGCGCGGGCUGUACAAGGUCCUUCGCUUAUUUACCUGAAUUACACAUCUAUCCAAGCAACCGCUUUGAUGGAGGCAUGGAACCUAUUGUUUUUGCAGGGGGUGAUCAAAGAGCAGGAAAAUCACUUUCUCUUCACAAGAGAGUAGAGCAGUUGUGUACCAGAGCAAUCAAAUGGGCAGAAUUGAAGAGGAAAAGAAGCUUCCCACCAGACAAAGGCAAUGUUGGAAUGGCUGCUUACCUGAACAUGUUUUCAUUCAUUUUCUUUGUUUUACAAGACCUUAAAAGAGACGGUUAAGACAUGGAAGGACUUUCGGCAACUUCUGUAGAGUUGAUUGCAGUUGUUCUUCACGACAAAGAAGCUCAUUCAGCAGUCCAAAUCUCAACAUUGUUGGUAAGAGAGUACCAACAGUUAACUUCACGACAAAGAAGCUCAAUUCCAGGCCUUUUUUGUUAUAUAUAUCUAUAUCAUAUAUUUAUAUGCCAUUUUGCUUAAAUAUCUAUAUUUUUAUAACACUGACCUCUUUUCUAGCCUUUUUACAAUUGUUGCUGAUGUCGUAGAAGGAAAUGUGGAAAUUGCAGACUUUGAUUUGGCAAAUAUGUUUGAUAAUGGUGGAAAUGUGGCACUAACAAUUUGUGUUGUGACACUCUGGUAUCGACCACCUGGACUUCUACUUGGAGCGACUCAUUAUGUAGUGGCGGUGGACUUGUGGAGCCCUAAAUGCAUUCUUAGUGGCAAACCUUUCAUGCUAGGUUGAGCAAUUACAUAAAAUAUUCAAGGUUUGAGGUUUACCUUCUGAAGAUUAUCGAAUAAAGUUAAAAUUACAAGACUUGACGGAGUUCAAACUUACAUAGACUUGUUGUCAACAACACAUUGAAGAAACUUUUACGGAUGUUCCUUCUGUUAUGCUUUUUAUGAAAAACAGAUAACGGGUCAUUUGUAGCGAAAUUGCCUCAACUUUGUGUAUUAAACAUGUUAAGCAAUCUGACCCAAAACCUGAAAUUGCUGUUUA